rnacentral:tRNA from 1 species
AGUCUUGUGGUGUUUACGCCAAAAUGCAAAUUUGGAGAAGCACCCUAAAAGUGCCGGGACUU